UGUAAGCGUAUACCAAAGUUGUUGCAGUUAAAACGCUCGUAGUCGGAACUUGGCCGUUCCGGAUGUGUGCACGUCGUGUGCGCGCUUUGCUGGGACGGCUUUUGUGGUCUUGCGUAGGAUGAGGCACUUUUAUUAGUGAACGUCCUCACGCAACCACUCUUUACUGUGAGAAAAUCAGAGUGCUCAAAGCAGGCAUUUGCCGUGAAUGUAUUAGCAUGGAAUAAUAGAAUAGGACUCGGUUCUAUUUUGUUGGUUUGUUGGGACUGAGUAAUGAUUAAGAGGGACAGUUGGGGGCAUUUGUAUUUCGGCGCUAGAGGUGAAAUUCUUAGAUUGCCGAAAGACAAACUGCUGCGAAAGCGUCUGCCAAGGAUGUUUUCAUUGA
rnacentral:rRNA from 1 species